rnacentral:rRNA from 1 species
GAUGAACGCUGGCGGCGUGCCUAACACAUGCAAGUCGAACGAGAUGCGUAUUGGAAAGCUUCGGCCGGAAGAUGCGUUAUCUAGUGGCGGACGGGUGAGUAACACGUGGGUAACCUGCCUUAUGGAGGGGGAUAACAGAGAGAAAUCACUGCUAAUACUGCAUAAGCACACAUUGCCGCAUGGCAGAGUGUGAAAAGAUUUAUCGCCAUAAGAUGGACCCGCGUCUGAUUAGCCAGUUGGCAGGGUAAAAGCCUACCAAAGCAACGAUCAGUAGCCGAUCUGAGAGGAUGACCGGCCACAUUGGGACUGAGACACGGCCCAAACUCCUACGGGAGGCAGCAGUGGGAAAUAUUGCACAAUGGGGGAAACCCUGAUGCAGCGACGCCGCGUGAGUGAAGAAGUAUUUCGGUAUGUAAAGCUCUAUCAGCAGGGAAGAUAAUGACAG